GAUGAACGCUGACAGAAUGCUUAACACAUGCAAGUCUACUUGAACUUCGGUUUGGGUGGCGGACGGGUGAGUAACGCGUAAAGAACUUGCCUCACAGAUAGGGACAACAUUUGGAAACGAAUGCUAAUACCUGAUAUUAUGAUUUUAGGGCAUCCUAGAAUUAUGAAAGCUAUAUGCACUGUGAGAGAGCUUUGCGUCCCAUUAGCUAGUUGGAGAGGUAACGGCUCACCAAGGCGAUGAUGGGUAGCCGGCCUGAGAGGGUGAUCGGCCACAAGGGGACUGAGACACGCACCUUCCUCCUUCGGGAGGCAGCAGUGGGGAAUAUAGGACAAUGAACCAAGACUCUGCUCCAGCAAUUCUGUGUGGAGGAUGAAGUUUUUCUGAAUGUAGAGUGCUUUCAGUUGGGAAGAAAAAAAUGACGGUACCAACAGAAGAAGUGACGGCUAAAUACGUG
rnacentral:rRNA from 1 species